GGACGGGGGAUCUUAGGACCUCUCGCUACAGGGGCGGCCGAUGGCAGAUUAGCUAGUUGGUGGGGUAAAGGCCUACCAAGGCGACGAUCUGUAGCUGGUCUGAGAGGACGACCAGCCACACUGGGACUGAGACACGGCCCAGACUCCUACGGGAGGCAGCAGUGGGGAAUUUUGGACAAUGGGGGCAACCCUGAUCCAGCAAUGCCGCGUGUGUGAAGAAGGCCUUCGGGUUGUAAAGCACUUUUGUCCGGAAAGAAAACGCUCUGGUUAAUACCCGGGGCGGAUGACGGUACCGGAAGAAUAAGCACCGGCUAACUACGUGCCAGCAGCCGCGGUAAUACGUAGGGUGCAAGCGUUAAUCGGAAUUACUGGGCGUAAAGCGUGCGCAGGCGGUCCGCUAAGACAGAUGUGAAAUCCCCGGGCUUAACCUGGGAACUGCAUUUGUGACUGGCGGG
rnacentral:rRNA from 1 species